rnacentral:rRNA from 1 species
ACUGCUCAGUAACACGUGGACAACCUGCCCUUAGGUUGGGUAUAAACCCGGGAAACUGGGUAUAAUACCCGAUAGGUCUCGAUUGCUGGAAUGCAUCGAGAUUUAAAGCUUCGGCGCCUAGGGAUGGGUCUGCGGCCUAUCAGGUAGUAGUGGGUGUAGCGUACCUACUAGCCUACGACGGGUACGGGUUGUGAGAGCAAGAGCCCGGAGAUGGAUUCUGAGACACGAAUCCAGGCCCUAAGGGGUGCAGCAGGCGCGAAAACUUUACAAUGCUGGCAACAGCGAUAAGGGAACCUCGAGUGCCAGGUUACAAAUCUGGCUGUCGAGAUGCCUAAAAAGCAUUUCAUAGCAAGGGCCGGGCAAGACCGGUGCCAGCCGCCGCGGUAACACCGGCGGCUCGAGUGGUAACCGUUAUUAUUGGGUCUAAAGGGUCUGUAGCCGGCCGGAUAAGUCUCUUGAGAAAUCUGGCAGCUUAACUGUCAGGCUUUCAGGAGAUACUGUCUGGCUCGAGGCCGGGAGAGGUGAGAGGUACUUCAGGGGUAGGGGUGAAAUCUUGUAAUCCUUGAAGGACCACCAGUGGCGAAGGCGUCUCACCAGAACGGACCUGACGGCAAGGGACGAAAGCUAGGGGCACGAACCGGAUUAGAUACCCGGGUAGUCCUAGCCGUAAACGAUACUCGCUAGGUGUCGGCCACGGUGCGACCGUUGUCGGUGCCGUAGGGAAGCCGUGAAGCGAGCCACCUGGGAAGUACGGCCGCAAGGCUGAAACUUAAAGGAAUUGGCGGGGGAGCAC